GGCGCAGCCUGAUGCAGCCAUGCCGCGUGUGUGAAGAAGGCCUUCGGGUUGUAAAGUACUUUCAGCGGGGAGGAAGGCGAUAAGGUUAAUAACCUUGUCGAUUGACGUUACCCGCAGAAGAAGCACCGGCUAACUCCGUGCCAGCAGCCGCGGUAAUACGGAGGGUGCAAGCGUUAAUCGGAAUUACUGGGCGUAAAGCGCACGCAGGCGGUCUGUCAAGUCGGAUGUGAAAUCCCCGGGCUCAACCUGGGAACUGCAUUCGAAACUGGCAGGCUAGAGUCUUGUAGAGGGGGGUAGAAUUCCAGGUGUAGCGGUGAAAUGCGUAGAGAUCUGGAGGAAUACCGGUGGCGAAGGCGGCCCCCUGGACAAANACUGACGCUCAUGUGCGAAAGCGUGGGGAGCAAACANGAUUAUAUACCCUGGUAGUCCACGCCGUA
rnacentral:rRNA from 1 species